rnacentral:rRNA from 1 species
UUGAAAGGGAAACGAUUGAAGUUAGUCGUACCUGUGGUAAUCAGCCUUUUGGGUGUGAUUAUGUGGAGUGUGAAGAGUUAAACGCCUUUAUGUCUGCAUAUUCGUGCACUUUGGGUGUACUUACCCGUGUGGUAAGUUAACAUCAAUUUUGGUCGUCAUAGAAUGGCUGGAGGAAUGUAGCUUCGAUCUCGUAUUGAAGUGUUAUAGCCUUCGGUUGAUGUGGUGAUCGGGAUUGAGGAUUGCAACGAUACCCUUCGGGGCUAACCCGUUAGAUCAAAUUGAUGGUCGAUGGGUUACAUUCGUUAAGGAUGUUGACGUA